UUCAAGAUCCCAAUGCUAGCAUUACAUAAUCUCGGCCUCAGUUUCCACAUGCCUGAACAUGGAGACUAAUGCGGUCCUGUGUACGUCAUAGAGUUGUUAAUACUGAACCCAAGGCUUCAGAAUACACCCCACAUACCCAAGGACCGCCCUCCAUUUCUGGCAGUCUCUGCAUACUUUCCAGGUAUGCACCCCCAAAAUGGUAAACUGUGCCUCUGGCUAGCUCAAGCAUGCCCUUGGAUUCUCUUCUCCUUCUGGAAUUGAUUCUUCCUGGGAAUUGGUUUUCUGAACUGCCUGGAUUGUAGAAUACAAUACAGUAUUGGAAAGGAGGUCAGUGUAAAUGACCUACAGGUUAAGCAGACCCACCACCAACAAGCCCACCACAGUGGCUGUCUGUCCCAGCACCCUGAGGACAUUCCAUGCCCUGCCUUGACCUCCUUGGUGUGGCUGUGUCAUGGGCUGAUCUCCCAGAGCUCCACCCGCCCUAUCCUCCAGAGUGCUUGGAUGACAGGAAGAAAAACUAUGAGAGCUGGAGGCAGAGAUGGGACCGUGGCAAGGGUCUCCAGAUGCUGCCAUGGGCAUCAGGCAUCACCACUGUGAGCAAGUCACCCAGCACAGGCCUCCUUGGCCUUUGCUUCCCCCGAGACACAGUGACGCUGCUGCUUAUCCGGCCUCGCUCUACCCUGCACACAGGUGAGAAGCAUGGAUGAGGUAAUGUCUCCCAGGCCCACCCAGCUCCUGGAAGCAAGCAG